GGUCGGCUCCUCGUAAUCCGCCUCCUCCCGGGCCUCGUCAGCCAGAGUCUCCUCGAUCCGCUCCAGCAGCGACUGCAGAGGAAGUGCUUGAAAGACGGAGCUUUCCGAGUUUCACCGGGUUCAAGAUGGAGCAUCAACGGAACACCGCAAAUACUUGGAGCAAAGCUACAACGGAGCUUUUAAUGAGGUACUCCGCCGGUCCAGAGCGCUGUCCGGACUGGGAGAGUAGAUGAAGCUAAACAUGGAUUAAUAUUUAAAACUGAAUUAAUUAAAGGACACCUCAAUGUCUGUCAUUCUGCCUUGCAAAACAGACUGGAGUAGAUCGUGAGAUUCCUUUGCACACAUAUCGAUUGAAGUAGGAAUCAUAAUGAAUAAUCGUUUUGAAUCAAACAUCUAUUUUGUAUUGAAUUGUGGCAACAAAAAUUGUAAUCAAAUCUAGAGACAAUAAAACAAUCCCAUUUCUACGCAAAAUCAGACUUUGGUGAAACUUGGGUGAAGCCAAAUCUACUUUAAUUUAUUCAACUUGGUUGAAUGUAACACGCGUUUUCAGAGAAAUUGUGAACCAAAUCCUGCUUUUAUUGCUCAGAAGAGACGUUUUCCUGUUUUUUUAUUUUUCUCAAUUUUUCCUCAAUCUUUCAAUAAGAAAAAGAUCCAUUUACAUUUUGGAUGUACCAUUGUUUACAAAAUUUGACCCUUUUAAUUAAAAUAGUUUAUU